CCCCAGACUCCUACGGGAGGCAGCAGUGGGGGAUAUUGCACAAUGGGGGGAACCCUGAUGCAGCGACGCCGCGUGGGCGAAGAAGUAUUUCGGUAUGUAAAGCCCUAUCAGCAGGGAAGAAGAAAUGACGGUACCUGAGUAAGAAGCACCGGCUAAAUACGUGCCAGCAGCCGCGGUAAUACGUAUGGUGCAAGCGUUAUCCGGAUUUACUGGGUGUAAAGGGAGCGCAGGCGGCACGGCAAGCCUGAUGUGAAAGCCCGCGGCCCAACCGCGGGACUGCAUUGGGAACUACCGGGCUGGAGUGCCGGAGAGGUAGGCGGAAUUCCUGGUGUAGCGGUGAAAUGCGUAGAUAUCAGGAGGAACACCGGCGGCGAAGGCGGCCUGCUGGACCGCGACUGACGUUGAGGCUCGAAAGCGUGGGGAGCAAACAGGAUUAGAUACCCCUGUAA
rnacentral:rRNA from 1 species